rnacentral:misc_RNA from 1 species
GAUGAAGAACGUAGCGAAAUGCGAUACUUGGUGUGAAUUGCAGAAUCCCGCGAAUCAUCGAGUUUUUGAACGCAAGUUGCGCCCGAAGCCAUUCGGCCGAGGGCACGUCUGCCUGGGUGUCACGCAUCGUUGCCCCCCCAAACUCCGGUUCGGGCGGGGCGGAAGUUGGCCUCCCGUGCGUGCCUGCGCGCGCGGUUAGCCCAAAAGCGAGUCCUCGGCGACGAGCGCCACGACAAUCGGUGGUUUUUUUACCCUCGUUCCUCGUCGUGCGUGUCCCGUCGCCCGAACGCGCUCUUGUGACCCUCACGCGUCGCCUCGGCGGCGCUCCCAACGCGACCCCAGGUCAGGCGGGACUACCCGCUGAGUUUAAGCAUAUCAAUAAGCGGAGGA